rnacentral:rRNA from 1 species
UACGGAGGAUUCAAGCGUUAUCCGGAUUUAUUGGGUUUAAAGGGAGCGCAGGCGGAGGUGCAAGUCAGCGGUCAAAUUGCGGGGCUCAACCCCGUACUGCCGUUGAAACUGCAUCCCUUGAGUGGGCGAGAAGUACGCGGAAUGCGUGGUGUAGCGGUGAAAUGCAUAGAUAUCACGCAGAACUCCGAUUGCGAAGGCAGCGUACCGGCGCCCAACUGACGCUGAAGCACGAAGGCGUGGGUAUCGAACAGG